rnacentral:rRNA from 1 species
GACGAACGCUGGCGGCGUGCCUAAUACAUGCAAGUUGAGCGCUGAAGGUUGGUACUUGUACCAACUGGAUGAGCAGCGAACGGGUGAGUAACGCGUGGGGAAUCUGCCUUUGAGCGGGGGACAACAUUUGGAAACGAAUGCUAAUACCGCAUAAAAACUUUAAACACAAGUUUUAAGUUUGAAAGAUGCAAUUGCAUCACUCAAAGAUGAUCCCGCGUUGUAUUAGCUAGUUGGUGAGGUAAAGGCUCACCAAGGCGAUGAUACAUAGCCGACCUGAGAGGGUGAUCGGCCACAUUGGGACUGAGACACGGCCCAAACUCCUACGGGAGGCAGCAGUAGGGAAGCUUCGGCAAUGGACGAAAGUCUGACCGAGCAACGCCGCGUGAGGGAAGAAGGGUUUCGGAUCGUAAAACUCUGUUGGUAGAGAAGAACGUUGGUGAGAGUGGAAAGCUCAUCAAGUGACGGUAACUACCCAGAAAGGGACGGCUAACUACGUG